UACGGAGGGUGCAAGCGUUAUCCGGAUUCACUGGGUUUAAAGGGUGCGUAGGUGGGCAGGUAAGUCAGUGGUGAAAUCUCUGGGCUUAACCCGGAACUGCCGUUGAUACUAUUUGUCUUGAAUAUUGUGGAGGUAAGCGGAAUAUGUCAUGUAGCGGUGAAAUGCUUAGAUAUGACAUAGAACACCAAUUGCGAAGGCAGCUUACUACACAACGAUUGACGCUGAGGCACGAAAGCGUGGGGAUCAAACAGG
rnacentral:rRNA from 1 species